UACGGAGGGGGCGAGCGUUGUCCGAAGUUACUGGGCGUAAAGCGCGCGUAGGCGGGUUGGUAAGUCCGCUGUGAAAGUCGGGGGCUCAACCCUCGAAUGCCGGUGGAUACUGUCGGGCUAGAGUGCGGGAGAGGCGAGUGGAAUUCCUGGUGUAGCGGUGAAAUGCGCAGAUAUCAGGAGGAACACCAAUUGCGAAGGCAGCUCGCUGGAACGUAACUGACGCUGAGACGCGAAAGCGUGGGGAGCAAACAGG
rnacentral:rRNA from 1 species